GACGAACGCUGGCGGCGUGCUUAACACAUGCGAGUCGAACGAAGCGCGAUGGAAGCUUGCUUCUAUCAAUCUUAGUGGCGAACGGGUGAGUAACGCGUAAUCAACCUGCCCUUCAGAGGGGGACAACAGUUGGAAACGACUGCUAAUACCGCAUACGAUCUAACCUCGGCAUCGAGGAUAGAUGAAAGGUGGCCUCUACAUGUAAGCUAUCACUGAAGGAGGGGAUUGCGUCUGAUUAGCUAGUUGGAGGGGUAACGGCCCACCAAGGCGAUGAUCAGUAGCCGGUCUGAGAGGAUGAACGGCCACAUUGGGACUGAGACACGGCCCAGACUCCUACGGGAGGCAGCAGUGUGGAAUCUUCCGCAAUGGACGAAAGUCUGACGGAGCAACGCCGCGUGAGUGAUGACGGCCUUCGGGUUGUAAAGCUCUGUUAAUCGGGACGAAAGGCCUUCUUGCGAAUAGUGAGAAGGAUUGACGGUACCGAAAUAGAAAGCCACGGCUAACUACGUG
rnacentral:rRNA from 1 species